AAUGAGGUGGUAAGUACACGUUAGUAAGUUAGCUACGUGAGGGUCUUGAGGUAACGUAACAUAACCCUCACAAUCAUGGCUCACACUACUCGCCAGCCCACUCGAGAAACAGAGACUGGACUGAGUGACUGUGUACUGCCAGGGAUCAUAUUCUCAAACAUUUCGGGGCGUACAAUCUCACAUUUGGGCUUUUCGUGGAAGUUGUGGGUCUUUCCAAGGGUAGUUUUAUGAGCCUAGGGAUAGUUUGACAAGGCUUCUGUACCGUGAAUGGGAUAAAAACUCAAGAGAACCAGACUGAAUCCCUUAGUGGCCAUAUGAAAUCCCUUAGUGGCCAUUAGACUGAAUCCCUUAGUGGCCAUUGGAGAUCCCUUAGUGGCCAUUAGACUGAAUCCCUUAGUGGCCAUUGGAGAUCCCUUAGUGACCAUUAGACUGAAUCCCUUAGUGGCCAUUUUAAAUCCCUUAAUGGCCAUUGGAAAUCCCUAAAACCCGGUAGCAGCGACGGGCCAAAUUUGUGGCUGUACCGUGUACCAGCGACGGGCCAAAUUUUUGCCAUGAUAUAAACCCCCCAAAAUAGAUGAUGCAUAAACUGAUCACAAAUGCGUUGAUACAUAUUAUGAAAUCGUUGACGUGGGUGAUGAUUUUUUCCAUUCAUUCUCGCUUAGAGGGAUGAGCCUUUAAGACAUAUGGUCCCCGCAGCUACCGGGUUAAUGGCCAUUGGAAAUAUGUGUUGUGACAGCCGAGAGGAUCUGAGAAUACGGGACCUGCAGGACACAUAUAUAGACUACUGCUCUCCUUACUUGACAGCGGGAAAGGAAGAGGUUGAGACUCGAUAUAUGGGACAGGGAAAUCUCAAGAGUGACAAAGAGAUGAAGGCUGCUUGGUCUAUGCAUUCUACUACACACUUUUCAACAACAUAUAGCUACUUAUAAUCUACUUCUGCUGCUUCUUCUGCCGUUGCUGUAUGCCUGUAGACUUAAGAUAGACUGUACUUUUUGAUUAGCUCAUGUGUUUUUGUGGAUUGAUGAUACGUGGAAUGAACAUAACUGCAAAUUUCAUCUCUUUUUUCAUCUUUUUUUUUUUGUAUCUUUGAGUCGUCGUUCACGUUGACGUCAUUAAUACUAUUUCUUAAUAUAUGAUAACGGUUUUCAGACUGUGAUGCCGAUUAUCUGGAUUUCAUGUUACUAUUUAUACGAUUUUUUGCUCAUUAUCGAUAAAAUCCCGAUUGAGUUUACUGAAUAAGACUCAUUUAAAUGUUCGAAAACGCUCUUCUCAGUAAAACAACAACAACAACAGCAAGAAUAAUGGUAUAUCCUACGCUAACAAUAACAACAACAACAACAACAACAAAGCACUAUUUUUUGCAAUGUCUUCCAUCACUAUCAUUUUAUUUUAUCUUUAUUUUCAGCUUCCUUAUUUACUUUUUUUUUAUGAACCUCCAAUACCGUACUAGAUAUAUCCCCCCCCCCCCCCCUCUCUCUCUCUCUCUCUCUCUCACAUCCUCUCUUUACACUCUUUGGGUCAUAUUUUCAACCAUUUCGGAGUCCAAGGGCAAACAUUUGACAAGGCUUUCGUAGGAGGAGUUUUGGGGCAUUUGCAGAGGUAGUUUUUGGCCCUUCCGGUGGUUUGAUCGUUCUUUUGUGACAUGAACUUACAGAAACACUCAUAAGAACGCGAUUAAUCUCCUUAUCGGCUUUUGGAAAUAGUUAAUGAGAGAGGCGGAGGCGUCUGAGAAUAAUGACCCUGACCGCUGACAGAUGGCGUUGGUGUAGCAGGUGGCGGCCAUGUUUAAAGAGCUCCCCAGUCAACGUUACCAGAUUGCCGUACACUGCCUCUUAUGUUUGCCGAUUUCGACCCCAAAAACUACUUUCAUCACCCAAAUAACUGCCUUCAUAUAUGGUCAUCGCUUAAAUAGUUAAUUAUUGAUGUUUCUUGGCAACAGUUAUUGGCUAGAAACCGGUAAAUACGCGGCUCUGAGUACGAUAAUCUGUCAACGGUUGCUCCCCUGACAUGUGCUGCCCCGCUUCUACUGAACCAGCUGAUUGUGACGAAAUAUAAAGCCUUACGGUUCAUUGUGCUGGUCAAGAUUACUAACAAGGACGUAGAAGUGAUCGGAGAUAUGGUAAUACACAGGUAAGAAUCGGGUAUUGUAAGUUACAGUUGAUUGCCAAUGACCACGAAACUAAGUCUUGUUUGUUUACAUUUUGAACGGGUGGGAAUGAGCUUAACUUUGUGUGUGUGUGUGUGUGUGUUUACCUAGUUGUAUUUACCUAGUUGUAGUUUUAUAGGGCCUGGGCUUUACUCUCGUGUGGUCCCGUCUCCGUAUCUACAUUUAUCCAACUUUUCCUUAAAGCUUUGCACACUCUUCGCCGAUAGCCUACUACAUCCUCACGUAGUCCGUUCCAAACCUCUAUAUUUCUUUGCGGGAAGCUAUAUUUCUUUAUGUCUCUCAAGCAUCUUCCCUUCCUCAGUUUUUUACUAUGUCCUCUUGUGUUCCUGGUGGUAAUUCCUUCUUUUAGUAGUAACUCCUCGUUAUCUACUUCUUCCAUUUUGCUCAAUAAUUUAUAGAUUUGUAUUAGGUCUCCCCUUUCUCUUCUUUUGUUCUAGUGUUGGUAAGUCCAUUUCCUUUAGUCUUUCCUCGUAUGUCAAUCCCUCCAGCUCUGUGUAUGUGUGUGUGUGUGAGAGAGAGAGAGAGAGAGAGAGAGAGAGAGAGAGAGAACCCCUCCAUGUUACUGGGCUCACUGGUUUCAUUUUUCUCUCAUUCCUUACAGUGGACGAGCCUCUACGCUGCCUGGCUCACCGGUACUCAAGCUAACGACAGGGAAUCGAAGUAUGGGUUCCUGUGUUGUGUUUCUGAGGUUGGGCAGCGGAAGGCAUGACCGGGAGGAACGUUCUGUGUAUCUACACAUAAAUGCAUGAAGCAAUGGAAGGAGUUCUGAAAAAGUAAUGUUGAGUGCAAUGCAACGAAGAAUGGCCGAUAAUGACAACGUAACAGCGAGUCGAAACACUGACUGGUUCAUGAAGCAGUGAGCGCCCGGGGAGGCGGAGGCGGCGGCGCCAGCUCGCACUCGGAGGACAGGGAGACAGGACGUCGCAGAUAUCCUUCCCGCCCAAGACGCCCACCAUCGCCACGACAAGUACAAGAGAUUAUCUGAUGCUGGUCCAACCGCUGUCCACGCGGUUGAGGUAUUACGGGUCCGUGGACGAGAAAGGGGACGGGACGAAGAACCAAUCGCCCGCCAGCCAGUCUACCCGAGUCGCCCGCCGUCCGCCAUUAGAGGUCACUACUGAACACAAUGUCCAGCGGCGGAGGUCAGGAAGUCACACGCGGCGUAGCGGAGGCCAUCCAUUAACUUCUCUCAACACUAUGAAGCAGGUGAUGCUGGCGGGGGUGCCGCUGCCAGGGCGGCUUGUAGCCGUGCCACAAUCUCGGGUUCCAAGCUCUGCAUCAAGGAAUUAAACUGUUCAGAGAAAUCCUGACUUGCACUGCCGACCAAUUCUUGAAUCAACUUGUUGGUUUCUGCAAGAGAAUUCAAAAGUUUUAUCAUUAAUGAAACUACAAUCAAUCCAAUAGCCAUUAGGAGUUCAACUAACAUGGUGGGCAAAAGUGUCUGACUGAUGUUGCAAUGGAAGCUGGAAGGACAGUCAGGAGUCCUGGUCAACUGUUACUCUACUGGAACAGUGAGGGGUGUGGAUGUGCCACCUGCCCACUGAACCAGGCUGUGGCUUAACCUUCGGAGGGCUCUAUGUUUGGGCUCCUAGGAUGUCCUGAGCCUCUUGGAGAGAAUGAGCUCAGAAGGCUGAAGGUGGAUGUAGUGGGACACUGAGACAAGGAGGCCUGGCAGUGGCAAGAUCAGUAGUAGAGGAUUACCUUCUACUGGUCUAGCAUGAGCAAUGUUACCCUUCUUAGGGGGAAUAGCUUAUAGAUAUCUAUGACCAACUGCAUCCAGUUGAGGAGUCUAUAAUGCAAGUGAAGCUGAAGCACACCUUGAGCCUCAUGUCUUGUUGCAAUGUACAUUCUAGUGGAGAUGUGUGAAACUUUAGACCAUAUCAGACCAGUGCCCUCUUUGGGACAUUUUCAUUAUCUUGAUUGUCAAUGCCAGUAGUAUAUUUAAAGAUAGAGUUGGG